rnacentral:lncRNA from 1 species
ACCUCCCCCUCAGCCUAGCUGGCGAAGCUUUCACUGGAACUUGAGGGUUCUGAGGCUCCAAUUGGUUGGUGAGUGGCAUCCUCCUCCUUAAGCAAUGAAAGAUGAACUGAGGUUGACAGGAUCUCCAGAGAUAAGCAUUAGCUGAGCAUCCACUGUAUUGAGUCUCACACCAAGUUCUACAGAGAAGUGGAGCUGCUCCUACAGAAUUUGCUGCCCCACACUCAGCUCGCCUUUCUGGUCCAUUGGUGUGCUCAAGGCUCUCAGAUGGAGUAAAGGCCCAUAGUGCAGUUCCAUCUUCUGC